GACUCCUGGGAUAGCUCAGUUGGUAGAGCUUGAGACUCUUAACCUCAGGGUCAGAGGUUCAAGCCCCAUGUUGGUCU